rnacentral:lncRNA from 1 species
AAUCAGACAAAACUCAAAAAGAUUCAAUUUUUAAGCAAACCCAGUUCGUGAAAAGCAAGAUGAAAGUUUUUUUAAGAAGCUUACCGGGUUUCAGAUUAGGGAAGGAAGACAAAGAAGAAGAAUAGAUCUGUCCCUUUGGUUGCUGCUAAUGUCGACUGGUGGGCUUUUUGAUAGUUGACAAUGUCGUGAAGAUUACAUUCAUUUAACGGGUUAUGUUCAGUAAAUCGCUCUUCAAAAUUUGAAUUUUCGGAGACAUUGUGAGUGGGAA